rnacentral:rRNA from 1 species
GAAGAACACCAGUGGCGAAGGCGACUUUCUGGACUGUAACUGACACUGAGAUACGAAAGCGUGGGUAGCAAACAGGAUUAGAUACCCUGGUAGUCCCCGCCGUAAACGAUGAAUACUAGGUGUCGGGGGGUACCACCCUCGGUGCCGCAGCAAACGCAUUAAGUAUUCCGCCUGGGGAGUACGGUCGCAAGAUUAAAACUCAAAGGAAUUGACGGGGACCCGCACAAGCAGCGGAGCAUGUGGUUUAAUUCGAAGCAACGCGAAGAACCUUACCUAGACUUGACAUCUCCUGAAUUACUCUUAAUCGAGGAAGUCCCUUCGGGGACAGGAAGACAGGUGGUGCAUGGUUGUCGUCAGCUCGUGUCGUGAGAUGUUGGGUUAAGUCCCGCAACGAGCGCAACCCUUAUUGUUAGUUGCUACUAUUAAGUUAAGCACUCUAACGAGACUGCCGCGGUUAACGUGGAGGAAGGUGGGGAUGACGUCAAAUCAUCAUGCCCCUUAUGUCUAGGGCUACACACGUGCUACAAUGGCUGGUACAA